rnacentral:lncRNA from 1 species
UUCCUCAGUUGAGGGAUAAAGGUCACCAAUGCGCCUGCUUCUGGAAAGGGGUGGGCACUGGGGAAGUCGGCGGCUGUGUGCUUGGAUCUGCCAAAAUUAGUUGCGUUGAAAUAAGAAAUUGAAAGCUCAGGACACCCUGAGAAAUCCACUUCCCUUUUUUGGAAGGUGCUACUUAGCGGGGCUCGGGAAAACCCCAGAUGCCCCAAAUCAUUUGAGGAGCUGGGAGGCGAAGAGGCAGAAGCAGCCGAGCCUUGUCCACGGCGCCCUGGGGUAGGAGACCCAUGGAGAAGUUUCGGGAGGUGUUGAACUUGCACCUCAAACACCGCAACGCUCUGGGCUACUGCCUGGUGAGCCUGCUGACGGCGGGCGGGGAGCGCAUCUUCUCCAGCGCGGUCUUCCAGUGCCCGUGCAGCGCCGCCUGGAACCUGCCCUACGGCCUGGUCUUCCUGCUGGUGCCGGCGCUGGCGCUCUUCCUCCUGGGCUACGUGCUGAGCGCGCGCACCUGGCGCCUGCUGACCGGCUGCUGCGCGCGGGGCUGCGGCGCGGGGCUGCGCGGGGCCCUGGUGUGCGCGCAGAUCAGCGCCACGGCCGCGGUGGCGCCGCUCACCUGGAUGGCCGUGGCGCUGCUCGGGGGCGCCUUCUACGAGUGCGCUGCCAGCGGGAGCGAGGUCCUGGCGCGGUACCUGUGCGUGGGCCGCGACCCGCGCUGCGUCGCCCAGCUGCCGCUGGUGCCCUGCCAGCAGGCCCAGGCGCCCGACGUGAAGCAGCUGCAGAAGGAGCUCACGGCGCAGUCGCAGGUGUUAGGCUGGAUCCUGAUAGCAAUUGUUAUCAUCGUCCCUCUGAUUUUUACGUCAAUCAAUCGAUGCCGAUCUCCAGUUAGUUACAUGCAGCUGAAAUUUUGGGAAAUCUAUUUGCAACAGGAGCAGCAGAUUUUUAAAAGUCAAGCCACAGAACAUGCAACGCAACUGGCAAAGGAAAAUGUCAAAUGUUUCUUUGAGUGCUCACAUCCACAGGAAUACAACACUCCAAGCAUUAAAGACUGGCAGAAGAUUUCAUCACUAUAUGCUUUCAAUCCAAAGGAGCAGUACUACAGCACUUUGCACAAAUAUGUGAACAAAAACAGAAGAGUCAAAGUAGCACAUCUUCUGAAGAAGGUGCAACGGUUCCUGUUCUUGGCUUUGUAG